AUUGAACGCUGGCGGCAGGCCUUACACAUGCAAGUCGAGCGAGCGGCGGACGGGUGAGUAAUGCCUGGGAAACUGCCCGAUGGAGGGGGAUAACUACCGGAAACGGGCGCUAAUACCGCAUACUAUCGGAUGUGCCAAGUUGGGAUUAGCUAGUAGGUGGGGUAACGGCUCACCUAGGCGACGAUCCCUAGCUGGUCUGAGAGGAUGACCAGCCACACUGGAACUGAGACACGGUCCAGACUCCUACGGGAGGCAGCAGUGGGGAAUAUUGGGCAAUGGGCGAAAGCCUGAUCCAGCAAUGCCGCGUGUGUGAAGAAGGUUUUCGGAUUGUAAAGCUCUGUUGGUAGGGAGGCGGUACCUACCCAGAAAGCACCGGCUAACUACGUGCCAGCAGCCGCGGUAAUUC
rnacentral:rRNA from 1 species